UACGUAGGGUGCGAGCGUUAAUCGGAAUUACUGGGCGUAAAGCGUGCGCAGGCGGUUCGUUAAGUCAGAUGUGAAAGCCCCGGGCUCAACCUGGGAACUGCAUUUGAAACUGGCGGGCUUGAGUGUGGCAGAGGGGGGUGGAAUUCCGCGUGUAGCAGUGAAAUGCGUAGAGAUGCGGAGGAACACCGAUGGCGAAGGCAGCCCCCUGGGCCAAUACUGACGCUCAGGCACGAAAGCGUGGGGAGCAAACAGG
rnacentral:rRNA from 1 species